GAUCCAUGGCUCAGGACGAACGCUGGCGGCGUGCCUAACACAUGCAAGUCGAACGGAGAUGUUUAUUUCGGUAGACAUCUUAGUGGCGCACGGGUGAGUAACGCGUGAAUAACCUGACCCGAAGAGGGGGAUAACACCUGGAAACAAGUGCUAAUACCGCAUAAGACCACGGACCGGCAUCGGUCAGAGGUCAAAGGAGGAAUCCGCUUUGGGAGGGGUUCGCGUCCCAUUAGGUAGUUGGUGAGGUAACGGCCCACCAAG
rnacentral:rRNA from 1 species